rnacentral:rRNA from 1 species
ACAAGUACCGUGAGGGAAAGUUGAAAAGCACUUUGAAAAGAGAGUGCAAGAGAACGUGAAACCGUUAUAGUGGAAGCGGAUGGAGCCGACGUAUCUAACACGUAUUCAGCCGUUGUCGGAUGCAAUUUGCUUGUUUUGAGUUCUGCAAAGUGUCGGGCAGGCAACUGUUGUGUUCGGUGGCGGUGCAUUUGCGUGUAGAGUGCGCCGAAUCGGCUGAGUGUGCCGUUUGAAGUCGACAAAGAGGACUGCUUGCAGAAACCUGUGUUGAUGAAUGGCGGAUGCGCUCGGCUGUUGAAAAGAGCUGGUGAAUUCGUGAUGGCUGUUUUGGACUUGGGCGGUUUGUGGGCGUCGCAUGCGAUUCUCACCUAUGGUCUAGGUUCAGGGCGGUGAUUGCUCUGCUCUCAUUCGGUGUCUAGUCGGUCACCCAUUUGACCCGUCUUGAAACACGGACCAAGGAGUUUAAGGUGUACGCAAGUCAUUGAAUGCGAAAUUCAUAGGCGUAAUGAAAGUGGGACACUUGGUGUCUGUGAUGUGACUCGAGAGUGUUUCGACGCUUUGGAGGCAACAUCGACCCAUGACUAGGAUUAAUUCUGUUGUGGAGUCUGAGCGUACGCUUUGAGACCCGAAAGAUGGUGAACUAUGCCCGAACAGGACGAAGUCAGAGGAAACUCUGAUGGAAGUCCGAAGCGGUUCUGACGUGCAAAUCGAUCGUCUGAUUUGGGUAUAGGGGCGCAAGACUAAUCGAACCAUCUAGUAGCUGGUUCCUUCCGA